GACGUAGGGCGCGAGCGUUGUCCGGAAUUAUUGGGCGUAAAGAGCUCGUAGGCGGCCUGUUGCGUCCGCUGUGAAAGCCCGGGGCUUAACCCCGGGUCUGCAGUGGAUACGGGCAGGCUAGAGGUAGGUAGGGGAGAAUGGAAUUCCCGGUGUAGCGGUGAAAUGCGCAGAUAUCGGGAGGAACACCGGUGGCGAAGGCGGUUCUCUGGGCCUUACCUGACGCUGAGGAGCGAAAGCGUGGGGAGCGAACAGG
rnacentral:rRNA from 1 species